UUUCAAAUUGUAUGGUUGCUUUGAGGUAAAGGUGAUUUUAACGUUGUAUCCACUUAAUAACACUCGAGCAGAAAAAGCGAAUGAAAAUAUUGAUGUCCCACAAUGCAGCUGCAAUUUAAAAUGCUGUUUACAAUAUAGUGCAGUUCAUAAGUCCUGACAUCACUUGGACCAAAGGAAAAUGAAAUGGUUUCUUGUCUUACUUAAGAGAAGACUUAUUAUUUCUCACAAUGCAGUGAAAGCAGAGCGUUAUUUAUUUAGGAGGAUUUAAAUAUCUUCCACCUGGAUAAAGAAAGAGGAAGCCAGCUUCAUUAUUCCCCCUACUCACUCUGCCUGUUGUUUCUAUCCAGAAGGCUUUGUUUCAUACUUUCUUCCUCAGCUCACAUUCCCCCCGCCUCUCCCCCACUUUUUUUUCUUUUUUUUGGUCUCCCUUACAUAAGGACUGCCCUAUUUUUUCAGGGACCAGUAAGAGGUAGGAAUAAAGGGAGUGAGUGGGUGAGAGGGACUGGUGGAGGGAGAAAUCCAAUGAAAGAGAGAGACGGAGAAGGAAGAAAGAUAUGGGGGUAGACUGUUUGUGUAGUGAGCACUUGAGGAAGACACAAACCAGCGUAUGUCCUCGUCAUCCCCCUCACCUUACUGGCCUUGUGUGCCCACACACUGCUCCCCUCUCCUCACCUUUUGCUCCCCCUUCUCCUUACCCUUGGCUCUGGCAAUGCGAUCCUUCUUUCUUCUUCUUAUAUCCCUCUGCUCUUCACUGAAUCCUCUGUGCAAAUUCAUCUAUCUAUCUAUCUAUCUAUCUAUCUAUCUAUCUAUCUAUCUAUCUAUCUAUCUAUCUAUCUAUCUAUCUAUCUAUCUAUCUAUCUAUCUAUCUAUCUAUCUAUCUAUCUGUCUGUCUGUCUGUCUGUCUGUCUGUCUGUCUGUCUGUCUGUCUGUCUGUCUUGUAUUUUUUAGUAAUUUCUCUCGUAAUCUCAUUUAAAAUGUCUAAUUGUCAUUUAACAAAUUAAGUGUACCUUUAAAGUAAUACUACAUGUAUGAAAUAUUAAAUGUCAAUAUAUAUAUAUAUAUUAUUAAUACUUUAAUGUAAAGGAAUGACGACAUGUAAUUUGGUUAAAGCCUACUUAAAUAGGCUUCUAUUAAAAAAAAAAAAACUUAAUUAAGCAAUUUAAGGUGUUAGGUUUGUAAAAAUUGAUAAUUCUAGAUCAGUGAUAUUGUUGAGUAAAAAAAAAUUCACAAAAUGUAAAAGUAUUUGAUAAAAUGUUUAAAAAAUGCCACAAAAACACAACUUCAAUAUACAUAAAUAUAUAUAUAUAUAUUUGUACAUGUUCUUACUUUUGUAAAAAGUUUUUGCAAUUCAUAAAAAAUUUCCACAGGGGGAGAAAUUCUUUAACCUUUUAAUGGACAUCUUUCUAAUUUAUGAAAUGAUUUUGUGAUUUUCAUAGUUAAAGCUCUCAGUGAAAUAUUUUCUUGAGUGGGUAAAUGUUUUUUGUGGAGUUAAGUUGUAGGUUCACCUUAGAGUGCUUCCUUUACCUUCAAAGUAUACAACACUUUUCAUAUCCCAUUUACUGACCAUAUGGGAAAUGGGAUAUCAUCACAACUUAAACUUUUCACUAAUUUGUCAUAAAAACUUUAUUUUGAAACAGUUUAAGGCAGUUACAUUCGAGCAUAUACACUAACUGAACCCUCUAUACUUACACAACCAAGCUGAUACAUCAUUAACUUUAAUCAUUCACUUAAAAAGCACAAAAAGAUUAUCUGUAAAAGCACUGCUAUGCAAAAGUAAAUGCAAUGUACAUGUUACUCAAAAGUCCUGUUUCUGAGAGAAAACUGAUUUCUAAUAAGGUCAUUCCUCUGACAACAUGCAGAGAGUUAGAAAGGAUGACACACACUUCCAAGUUAUUUAUACAAAGAAUACAAAGACAUCACACAUUAUGUACAUGUUAAAAGUAGUGCCUCUGACACAUUCAUCAGCUGUGUAACAGAAUGUGAAAUCAAACAGAAUGAAAUGUGACGCAGAUUCAGAAUGCAUCAAUCAAUGCUAAACUUGUAGUCAGAUCUGGACUGAUCAGCAGUGUUCACCCUCUCAAAUCCCAAAGUUAAAGGACAAGUUUGUGCAAAGGAGGGUUUUUAAAUGCAUACAUCUAAUCUCAACCAACACAAUCUCUUGAUGUACAUAUCCCUUACAUCUGACAUCUUUUACACUAUUUUAGAUUCUUGAUUGGCUGAUUCAACAUCUGGCAAAGAGAUGGUAGAGAAAACUGUCCUUGAGUACACACUCACAGGUAAAGAGAUGAAUUAAGUUAAAAACACCUUACUCCCAAUCCCAGUUUAUAUGUGCAGAGUGUCUCUGUUGAUUGAUGUAGGACUUUAAUAAUAGUUUCAGUUGGGAAUUACAAACAGUCAUCUUCUAUAAAACACCUGGUUAUCACCGUCUGUAACAGACUGACAUUUAGGGAAUAACAUCCACAGGAAGAGGAACGCAGAGCAGAUUGUGGAUGUCAGCGGCACUCUUUGCGUCUCACAUUAUCAACCCUCACGACUUGUAAAUAAACACGCAGGAUAAAUACACCCUUACGUCCCAGGCCAACACACGCUCACAUCUUUAAAUACCCAGCUCUGACGACUGAGAUUGCACUGCUCAUCAAAUUUCUGCGUGAGCGAGCCCAGGCUAAAUUUGCAGCCAGGGAGCCAACUUACGCAAUCCUCCCUGGUCUCCCUUACUGUCUAUACAACGGCUCAAAAAAAUCUCACAGUUCUCAAAGCAUCCCAGCCCUCCCACACUACACACUACAACUCUGCCACUAUUCCUGUUCUCAGGCCCCCACCACCGUGGCCCAAAAAUACCGGCACCUCCAAGAACAGACGCCAAGCCUGUCAGAGCAUCAUCUCAUCCCACAGGACAGCCGGGGAGAGGGAAGGGGAGGAGGGAUGAGGACGGGGGAGAUGAAGAGAUGAAGAGCAGGUUGAGGGAUGAGAACAGCCGCUGUUGAGAGAAAGGAAUCAACAGAGACAGAGAAGAUAAAAUAAAUAGACUUUGUGAAGGAGGGUACAGUUUACAGUGAGAUCCUCUAGAUCCACCUCAAACUGUUUCUCUCUCUUCUGAUGUGAGGGAGCUCCUCUGUGGAAGAGUGUGCUGUUAUUUCACUAUAUUUAUGAGGACCACCUGAGGAAAUCACUGUACCAAUUCUCUUUGAACCGGUCACCUUCACACCAAUUAAACUAUGUUAUUCCAGAAACUUAGUAGCUUUUAGAUGACACUAAUGAUUAAAUAACAAGUAUAGAUAUCCUUAAGGCUGGUGCACAAACAGAUAAGAUAUUACUUUUUUUUUUAUUUUGAAGUGUUUGUAUGAGUGUAAAUGUACCACCAGGCUGUGGUGGUGUUGAUUCAGGUGUGGCAUGGUAGUAGUAAGGCAUAUUGAUGAUGACAUUUAUAUUGACAUGAAUUUUAUUACAUUUUUAUCUAAUUUUUUUGUUUCUCUCUGUUGAGUACUCCACAAACUCAUUUAAUCCUCCCUCAAGGGUUUUGUGACUCAUUAAAAUGUUAAAAACCCCCCAAGGUAAUGAGUGCUUUUAGAAUGACUGAAUUUUUGGUCAUUUGCCAUUCUACUUUCUGACCUUGUAUAAGCACACACUAGGGCGAGGCCAAACUGGGGGGGUGGUUUUUUUGAGUAUGGCAUAAAGUGUGAUUUAGCUUUUCUAUGCUCAACAAUCAUAUGUACUUUGGCUACAAUUAUCAAAGCACCUUGGAAUUGCAAAAAUUUCCACAAUAGUGGCAACACCUCAGUCUUUACUCAUCUUGAUGGAUUUUAGGAGACACAUAUUUGUCCAAAGUCACAUAAAAAUAACUAGUGAGGUACUCCAACCUGUAGUGACACAGUCUCACCUCAAUAGCAGAUCAUAGUUUGGGAUUUGGGGUUGUCACUCAUACUCUUUGGAUCCGCCCUGACUACUGCUGGUCAAAGCCCCUUGUUUUCUUCCACCUUUACAGAAAGAUCAACAUGCCAGUUGUUAUAUGCUUUUAAAUCCGUUGAUGAAAUUUGAAGAGAUGGGAAUCUCCUAACCCUAUAAUGCCUGAAACCACAAAUUAUGACCAGAAAAUUCAAAUUUGGGAGCUGAAAUGUUUAUUUUACUUACUACUGAAAACCAAAAAAUUGUCCUUAAAAUUUAACAAAUAUAUUUAUUUAUCUUAUUUGAUACAUUAGAUGUUUUUGGAAACUGAUAAACCCCAAGAGGACAUUUUUAUCAUUUAUCGGACUGUUUUAAGGUGUUUUCUUUAGUAAUUUGUUGAUCAUAUAGAUUAAUAGAAGUAUCAUAAAAGUAUGUAUCAAAUGUGAUACAAAAGGCAAUAAAGGACUACUGCUGUACAGAAAAACAUUGCAAGUGUUUUUUUGUGAAGGAUAAAAUGUAAAAUACAGUACAUACACAUAUUUAUUUAUUUUUGCAAAAUCAGACAUAUGUCCAAUAUUCUAAAUUUUGGACCGCGGUUUACUUUGUCUUCUUGUUUGCACUUCAGGCUGCAGUAGGAUGGAUAUGGUUAAGCCCUUAAUCACUGUAAACUAAUAAACUAAGUGUAAGCUAUUUGUUAACAUAUGUGCAAAAAGUAACAUUUUUAUUAGCCUUGUUAUUUUAUUAAGGUUGCACUUCUGGUGAUAAAAAAUAUACAUUUAAUAAUUUAAAAAAUUGAUAAAGCAACAGAAUUGUGUUUUUUUUUUAACUGUUAUUUUUUUUUUUUGCACUUUGACCAUCUGUACAUCAUUGGUGCAAAUAACACCUCUAGUUACUUUAGUUUAAUUAAUUAAGUAAAUUUUUUUUUUUAAUCCACAUGUUGGCAUGUUCAUUGUAAGCGUAGAUUAAAACCUGCAAAUCUCUUAGUGUGGCUGUUCUUUUGGCUUUUCUGGAAAACAGAAAAGGUUACAAUGAAGGCCCCUGGAUGCUUGUUUUUAUCAGCUCCAGAUGUCACAUUGUCUGACCUCCUGCGGAACUGACUCAGAAACAAGAUACAGACGAUUUUAGCAAAAUACAAAUAUUUGAAAGAAAGAUACAAUUAUUAAAAAGAGCUGAUGGAGAGGCCAGACUCCGAGAUGAAUGAGCGUCCUUGCUCCCCUCUCUCUGCCUCCUCUUUCCAUCACAAUGCAGAUGGACGGUUGCCGAGGACAACCUGUGUGUACUCACCUAACUAGGAACAGGAAAUGGUGUGUGUGAGCAAAGGUGCUAUUAAUAGCUGUGUGUGUAGAAAGAACAUUUGCUCACUCUGCUGAUGUGUGAGUACGUGCAAAGAUACCUGUGUGUGUACAUAUGUGUGUAUGUAUGUAUGUAUGUGUGUGUGUGAUAGAGAGAGGGAGAGGGAGCAGCCAGCAUGGAACAGGGAGGUGGAGGAGGAUGUAGAUUGUGAGACUCAGACAGUUACUAGAGAGAAAAGGAGGGAGGCAGGGAGCGGGGAGAAAGAGUGAGGGAUGGAGGAAGAGAGAGAGAGUGAGAGAGAGAGAGAUGGAGAGAGAGGGAACGUAGUGGAGGAGGGGGCGAGUGUGUGUUGACGCUGUACGUGGCGUCAGUGCGAUAUGAAUAGAGAUGGUGCGUGUAGCGCUGCUGAGACAUCACCCUCACACCCUCAGUGGGGCAGGCAGCACUCAUUCUGUUUGUGUGUGUGCGUGCAGAUAACAUCCAGGGUAUGCUCAUGUGUGCACAGAUGA
rnacentral:lncRNA from 1 species